rnacentral:tRNA from 1 species
UCCCCAGUGGCUCAGUUGGUGAAGAAUCUGCCUGUAAUGCAGGAGACCUGGGUUUGAUCCCUAGGUAGGGAA